GAUGAACGCUAGCGGCAGGCCUAACACAUGCAAGUCGAGGGAGGAGCUUUCGGGCUUCGACCGGCGUACGGGUGCGUAACGCGUAUACAAUCUGCCUUUCACAUAGGGAUAGCCCGAAGAAAUUUGGAUUAAUACCUAAUGGUAUAUAGGAGUGGCAUCACAUUUAUAUUAAAGCUGAGGCGGUGAAAGAUGAGUAUGCGUUCUAUUAGCUAGUUGGAGAGGUAACGGCUCCCCAAGGCGACGAUAGAUAGGGGUUCUGAGAGGGAUAUCCCCCACACUGGUACUGCGAUACGGACCAGACUCCUACGGGAGGCAGCAGUGAGGAAUAUUGGACAGUGGUCGGAAGACUGAUCCAGCCAUGCCGCGUGCAGUAAGACGGCCUUAUGGGUUGUAAACUGCUUUUGCAGGGGAAGAAUAAGGACUACGAGUAGUUUGAUGACGGUACUCUGCGAAUAAGCAUCGGCUAACUCCGUG
rnacentral:rRNA from 1 species